AGCGUACACGGUGGAUGCCCUGGCAGUCAGAGGCGAUGAAGGACGUGCUAAUCUGCGAUAAGCGUCGGUAAGGUGAUAUGAACCGUUAUAACCGGCGAUUUCCGAAUGGGGAAACCCAGUGUGAUUCGUCACACUAUCAUUAACUGAAUCCAUAGGUUAAUGAGGCGAACCGGGGGAACUGAAACAUCUAAGUACCCCGAGGAAAAGAAAUCAACCGAGAUUCCCCCAGUAGCGGCGAGCGAACGGGGAGCAGCCCAGAGCCUGAAUCAGUGUGUGUGUUAGUGGAAGCGUCUGGAAAGGCGCGCGAUACAGGGUGACAGCCCCGUACACAAAAAUGCACAUGCUGUGAGCUCGAUGAGUAGGGCGGGACACGUGGUAUCCUGUCUGAAUAUGGGGGGACCAUCCUCCAAGGCUAAAUACUCCUGACUGACCGAUAGUGAACCAGUACCGUGAGGGAAAGGCGAAAAGAACCCCGGCGAGGGGAGUGAAAAAGAACCUGAAACCGUGUACGUACAAGCAGUGGGAGCACAGAGCAAUCUGUGUGACUGCGUACCUUUUGUAUAAUGGGUCAGCGACUUAUAUUCUGUAGCAAGGUUAACCGAAUAGGGGAGCCGAAGGGAAACCGAGUCUUAACUGGGCGUUAAGUUGCAGGGUAUAGACCCGAAACCCGGUGAUCUAGCCAUGGGCAGGUUGAAGGUUGGGUAACACUAACUGGAGGACCGAACCGACUAAUGUUGAAAAAUUAGCGGAUGACUUGUGGCUGGGGGUGAAAGGCCAAUCAAACCGGGAGAUAGCUGGUUCUCCCCGAAAGCUAUUUAGGUAGCGCCUCGUGAAUUCAUCUCCGGGGGUAGAGCACUGUUUCGGCAAGGGGGUCAUCCCGACUUACCAACCCGAUGCAAACUGCGAAUACCGGAGAAUGUUAUCACGGGAGACACACGGCGGGUGCUAACGUCCGUCGUGAAGAGGGAAACAACCCAGACCGCCAGCUAAGGUCCCAAAGUCAUGGUUAAGUGGGAAACGAUGUGGGAAGGCCCAGACAGCCAGGAUGUUGGCUUAGAAGCAGCCAUCAUUUAAAGAAAGCGUAAUAGCUCACUGGUCGAGUCGGCCUGCGCGGAAGAUGUAACGGGGCUAAACCAUGCACCGAAGCUGCGGCAGCGACGCUUAUGCGUUGUUGGGUAGGGGAGCGUUCUGUAAGCCUGCGAAGGUGUGCUGUGAGGCAUGCUGGAGGUAUCAGAAGUGCGAAUGCUGACAUAAGUAACGAUAAAGCGGGUGAAAAGCCCGCUCGCCGGAAGACCAAGGGUUCCUGUCCAACGUUAAUCGGGGCAGGGUGAGUCGACCCCUAAGGCGAGGCCGAAAGGCGUAGUCGAUGGGAAACAGGUUAAUAUUCCUGUACUUGGUGUUACUGCGAAGGGGGGACGGAGAAGGCUAUGUUGGCCGGGCGACGGUUGUCCCGGUUUAAGCGUGUAGGCUGGUUUUCCAGGCAAAUCCGGAAAAUCAAGGCUGAGGCGUGAUGACGAGGCACUACGGUGCUGAAGCAACAAAUGCCCUGCUUCCAGGAAAAGCCUCUAAGCAUCAGGUAACAUCAAAUCGUACCCCAAACCGACACAGGUGGUCAGGUAGAGAAUACCAAGGCGCUUGAGAGAACUCGGGUGAAGGAACUAGGCAAAAUGGUGCCGUAACUUCGGGAGAAGGCACGCUGAUAUGUAGGUGAAGUCCCUCGCGGAUGGAGCUGAAAUCAGUCGAAGAUACCAGCUGGCUGCAACUGUUUAUUAAAAACACAGCACUGUGCAAACACGAAAGUGGACGUAUACGGUGUGACGCCUGCCCGGUGCCGGAAGGUUAAUUGAUGGGGUUAGCGCAAGCGAAGCUCUUGAUCGAAGCCCCGGUAAACGGCGGCCGUAACUAUAACGGUCCUAAGGUAGCGAAAUUCCUUGUCGGGUAAGUUCCGACCUGCACGAAUGGCGUAAUGAUGGCCAGGCUGUCUCCACCCGAGACUCAGUGAAAUUGAACUCGCUGUGAAGAUGCAGUGUACCCGCGGCAAGACGGAAAGACCCCGUGAACCUUUACUAUAGCUUGACACUGAACAUUGAGCCUUGAUGUGUAGGAUAGGUGGGAGGCUUUGAAGUGUGGACGCCAGUCUGCAUGGAGCCGACCUUGAAAUACCACCCUUUAAUGUUUGAUGUUCUAACGUGGACCCGUAAUCCGGGUUGCGGACAGUGUCUGGUGGGUAGUUUGACUGGGGCGGUCUCCUCCUAAAGAGUAACGGAGGAGCACGAAGGUUGGCUAAUCCUGGUCGGACAUCAGGAGGUUAGUGCAAUGGCAUAAGCCAGCUUGACUGCGAGCGUGACGGCGCGAGCAGGUGCGAAAGCAGGUCAUAGUGAUCCGGUGGUUCUGAAUGGAAGGGCCAUCGCUCAACGGAUAAAAGGUACUCCGGGGAUAACAGGCUGAUACCGCCCAAGAGUUCAUAUCGACGGCGGUGUUUGGCACCUCGAUGUCGGCUCAUCACAUCCUGGGGCUGAAGUAGGUCCCAAGGGUAUGGCUGUUCGCCAUUUAAAGUGGUACGCGAGCUGGGUUUAGAACGUCGUGAGACAGUUCGGUCCCUAUCUGCCGUGGGCGCUGGAGAAUUGAGGGGGGCUGCUCCUAGUACGAGAGGACCGGAGUGGACGCAUCACUGGUGUUCGGGUUGUCAUGCCAAUGGCACUGCCCGGUAGCUAAAUGCGGAAGAGAUAAGUGCUGAAAGCAUCUAAGCACGAAACUUGCCCCGAGAUGAGUUCUCCCUGACUCCUUGA
rnacentral:rRNA from 1 species